CCGCUGCAAAGUCCCAGUGAUGACCUCAAGGUGGCUGUCAACAACUCGUCAAUUGUUGAGAUGACAGCAACCUGCCCUUCAAGUGGACCACAGCUUGAAAUAGGCACCAGAACAAGACAGCAGACCUUGUGCAAUGCACUCUCCCACGGGCCUCCCAUUCCAAUUUCCCCUUUUUAAGCCUUUCUCCCCAGCCUAAAGUUUUAAGAGGUUUCUGGAGGCGUAAGGAUUCUAUUUAUGUUUAAUGAACAAAAAAAUUAGUUUCAAUGAAAACUUUAUUUGAAAUGAUGAAUUCAAGCUGUUACCAGCCUCCCAAGUAAGAUGCCAGAGACUUCAAACACUGCUGUUGUUUCUCAAGGAAAAGAUCCAGUUAACAAGGAAUCAUUCUCUCUUCUUCAAUAGCUGCUUACGAAAUAAAAACAUCAGUAGGAGGGGAAGGAGGAAGGAAGGAGAAGAAAGAGGAAGAAUAGGAGGAGAAGAGGAAGAGAGGAAGAAGUCGUGAACAGCCCUCCUGCAUUUUGCAUCAGGUAGAAAAGUCAGUUGAAUGUUGGGAAG
rnacentral:lncRNA from 1 species